CACAAAAACACAGAAUUGCAGAAAUUGAAAGAGACCUCAAGAGAUCAUCGAGUCCAGCCUGCCCCUGCUAAAGCAGGUACCCUACAAGAGGUCACACAGGUUGUUGAUGAUGUUGAACAAGACCAGACCCAGCACUGACACCUGGGAAGCACCGGUAAUUAAAGGCCUCAAGCCAGAUUCUGUGCUGCUGAUGACAACCCUGUGAGCUCUGACAGUGAAACAGUUCUCAAUCCAGCUCACUGUCCACUCAUCUGUGCCACAUUCUCUACAUUUCAUAACCAGGAUGUUGUGGGAGACGGUGUCAAAUGCCCUACUGAAGUCACGGUACACAACAUCCACUGCUCUCCCUCCGUGUACCCAGACAGUGGUGACAUCAUAGAAGGAUAUCAGGUUGGUCAAGCAUGAUUUCUCCUUGGUGAAUACAUAUUGACAACUCUUGAUAACUUUCUUCUCUUCCAAUUGCUUGGAGAUGGCGUAAAGAGCAAGUUGU
rnacentral:lncRNA from 1 species